rnacentral:rRNA from 1 species
CGGAAGCUACUGCUAUUGGGAUUCGAUUAAGCCAUGCAAGUCGAAUGAAUUCAUAUUCAUGGCAUACGGCUCAGUAACACGUGGAUAACUUACCCUUAGGACUGGGAUAACUUUGGGAAACUGAAGAUAAUACUGGAUAUUAAGCUAUGCCUGCAAUGGUUUGCUUAUGAAACGUUUUUCGCCUAAGGAUAGAUCUGCGGCUGAUUAGGUCGUUGGUGGGGUAAAGGCCCACCAAGCCGAUGAUCGGUACGGGUUGUGAGAGCAAGAGCCCGGAGAUGGAACCUGAGACAAGGUUCCAGACCCUACGGGGUGCAGCAGGCGCGAAACCUCCACAAUGUACGAAAGUGCGAUGGGGGGAUCCCAAGUGCUAUUCUUAACAGAAUAGCUUUUCAUUAGUGUAAAAAGCUUUUAGA